UACGAAGGGGGCUAGCGUUGUUCGGAAUUACUGGGCGUAAAGCGCGCGCAGGCGGUCCUUUAAGUCAGGGGUGAAAGCCCAGAGCUCAACUCUGGAACUGCCUUUGAAACUAGAGGACUUGGGUACGGGAGAGGUGAGUGGAAUUCCGAGUGUAGAGGUGAAAUCGUAGAUAUUCGGAAGAACACCAGUGGCGAAGGCGGCUCACUGGCCCGUUACCGACGCUCAGGCGCGACAGCGUGGGGAGCAAACAGG
rnacentral:rRNA from 1 species